rnacentral:rRNA from 1 species
UACGAAGGGGGCUAGCGUUGCUCGGAAUCACUGGGCGUAAAGGGUGCGUAGGCGGGUCUUUAAGUCAGGGGUGAAAUCCUGGAGCUCAACUCCAGAACUGCCUUCGAUACUGGCGAUCUUGAGUCCGGAAGAGGUGAGUGGAACUCCUAGUGUAGAGGUGGAAUUCGUAGAUAUUAGGAAGAACACCAGUGGCGGAAGGCGGCUCACUGGUCCGGUACUGACGCUGAGGUGCGAAAGCGUGGG